GAUGAAGAACGUAGUGAAAUGCGAUAAGUAAUGCGAAUUGCAGAAUUUCCGUGAGUCAUCGAAUCUUUGAACGCACAUUGCGCCCACUGGUAUUCCGGUGGGCAUGCCUGUUCGAGCGUCAUUAUCCCCCCUCAAACCCCGUGUUUGGUGUUAGACCCAAGUUGUGUGAACAACUGGUCUCAAAGACAAUGACGGCGUCCGUGGGACCCUCGGUGCAACGAGCUUUUAGGAGCACGCGCUGAGUUGCAAGGACCUUCCGGGCCGGUCUCCUUUUACUAUUUUACAAGGUUGACCUCGGAUCAGGUAGGAAUACCCGCUGAACUUAAGCAUAUCAAUAAGCGGAGGA
rnacentral:misc_RNA from 1 species